UGGCAGAGUGGUGAUGCAGCGGCCUGCAAAGCCGUGUACACCGGUUCGAUUCCGGUCUGGGCCUCCA
rnacentral:tRNA from 1 species